AACUUGAAUUAGCUGAGGUUUUUCUUUCACCCUCUGGCAAUGUCAAGUAUCAAGUGUGCUCACCGGAGACCGUAAGCAAGUUGUUGGUGAAGUCUGGUUUGACACAACCAGCUGCCGAGGCUUCUUAAACACCUCUUAGAUGAUGGAUUACUUCGUCGUGCUAGGUCUGGCAUAUUUCAUGAUCUUCAUUUGACUUGAAGUGAACAAUGGUAUUUGGA
rnacentral:misc_RNA from 1 species